GCUGGCGGCGCGUCUUAAACAUGCAAGUCGAACGGAAAGGUCCUUCGGGAUACUCGAGUGGCAAACGGGUGAGUAACACGUAGGUAAUCUACCUUUUGGUGGGGGACAACCCGGGGAAACCCGGGCUAAUACCGCAUACGCCAUCUUUUUUACGGAUUAGAUGGUAAAAGCUUUAUGUGCCAAUUGAUGAACCUGCGGCUUAUUAGCUUGUUG
rnacentral:rRNA from 1 species